rnacentral:rRNA from 1 species
UACGGGGGGAGCAAGCGUUGUUCGGAUUUACUGGGCGUAAAGGGCGCGUAGGCGGUCAGCACAAGUCAGUUGUGAAAAUCUCCGGGCUUAACUCGGAAAGGUCAACUGAUACUGUGCGACUAGAGUGCGGAAGGGGCAACUGGAAUUCUUGGUGUAGCGGUGAAAUGCGUAGAUAUCAGGAGGAACACCAAUGGCGAAGGCAGCUCGCUGGGACGUGACUGACGCUGAGACGCGAAAGCGUGGGGAGCGAACAGG